AAAAAGUCAAACCCUGGGUUUCCGUGUCUAACUUUGACUGUCCGUCGUAUAUGAUUUUUUUUUUAUAAUUCGUAUUUUUAUUGUUGUUAGAUGAUAAAACAUGAUUAAUAUUUUAUGCAUGACUUGUUUUUUUUAAUUUUUUUCAUAAUUUUUUCAAAUAAGACAGACGGUCAAACGUUGGGCACGGAAACUAGGGUUUGUCUUUUU
rfam:Oryza barthii chromosome 11, whole genome shotgun sequence.